rnacentral:lncRNA from 1 species
UUAAGUCAAAACUAAACUAGUUAAAGAGUUAAAGUUGUUUAAAUAAGUUAAAUUAAUUAAUGUGGUUUAGUUGGUAGAUUUAGUUUUGUAUUAAGUCAAAACUAAACUAGUUAAAGAGUUAAAGUUGUUUAAAUAAGUUAAAUUAAUUAAUGUGAUUUAGUUGGUGGAUUUAGUGUUGUAUUAAGUCAAAACUAAACUAGUUAAAGAGUUAAAGUUGUUUAAAUAAGUUAAAUUAAUUAAUGUGAUUUAGUUGGUGGAUUUAGUGUUGUAUUAAGUCAAAACUAAACUAGUUAAAGAGUUAAAGUUGUUUAAAUAAGUUAAAUUAAUUAAUGUGAUUUAGUUGGUGGAUUUAGUGUUGUAUUAAGUCAAAACUAAACUAGUUCAAGAGUUAAAGUUGUUUAAAUAAGUUAAAUUAAUUAAUGUGAUUUAGUUGGUGGAUUUAGUGUUGUAU